UCUUCUCAACGCAAUGUCUGGAGAGUAAUAUAUGUCUGUUAUCUAAAUAUAUAUGCAUGUUUUGCUCAGGAACCCUCUGCAAGACUGCUGUACAUCUUCUAUAACAGAGCCUUAAAACGAGGAGAAUAAGUCAUUGCAGAUAUGAAAGAGGGAAUACGUAGGCAAAGAUGUCCCCCCAGUGCCAGAAAGUUGAUACUACUGUAGCUAGAAACGCGGCGCAUUUUAGGCUUUCCUCUGUCAGUGACUGAAGCAGAAAAAUGUCCGAGGUUAGAAAUGCUUGAACAUAGAAUGCCUGUAAAACACCUGUAAUAAAUAAAGCAUUUCUUGUGCUAGAUGCGGUUUAUCCAGUAGGUCUGCGUCGGACUUUUAUUUUGAAGGGAUUAAGGCUCAGUAUAGCUCGGACUGCUGUAAGCUGUUUCCAGAUGUCGUGCAGUCCUCCCGAGCGUCUUGAGAAACGAAGGUGCAGAAAGCUCCAGUAGCUGUAGAUGAAGAAGAUCUUCAAGGACACAGCGGUGUGGACCGGACCUCAAGAUCUGUUGGAAAAUCCUUUGGGUGUUUUUUGGGGUAUUUUUAGUAUGUCUGAAUUAAAGCUGUAGAGAGUGGUGAAAUAAAGCUUUUGAAUACA